UCUCUCUAAAGCCCGUAUUGCACUGACAUGGCAGGAAAUAUGGACUAUGUACCAUGGAAUAUCCCUCCUAAAGUGUGUUGAGGAUUGAAGAAAGAAAGCAGGUGCUCAACCACUGAAUCACAUCCCAGACUUCUGAUGAUUUUGAAAA